rnacentral:lncRNA from 1 species
CCAUGCCAAAUGGAAUGUUACCAGAUAAUUCAUUCCAACUCAGGUAAAGCCCUUCAAGCUUGGGAAGAUGUUGACACAUAUCAUUAGGUAAACUACCUGAUAGGCUAUUGUUGGAGAGAUCAAUGGUCUUCAGAGAAGAAAUGUUGAAGAUCGAAGUUGGAAUCUGACCUGUAAAGCCUUUAAUUGCUUUAAUAUUAAGCAGUUCCAAAUUAAGAAGUUUAAAUCAAUUAAGAAUAAAAUUUUGGCAUGGAAAAAUGUGAUGAAAUCAAUUAGAAAGCUGAGACAUAAUAAGAAGUUUUGAGUAGUAAUUAGUCCUUGUGAUUUGUAUAGACAAAACAUAUAAUACACUAAUAAUUUUUUAAAAUAUUGUAAAACUUAAAAUAAAAUAAAAAUAAAAGUUUGGCACGAGAAUGUGGCAUCUAAUCAAUCUUAAAAAUGAGAUGACAUUGAAUAAUAAUUAGUUAUGAUUUGGGAAACAAAAAUGUUAGAGCCAUUGCUUUUAAUAUAAACUGGUAUGAUUUUUAUCUAUUGGGUUAAUUAUUUAUUUUUAUUAAAUUAUAGUGUAAAAUUUAAAGAUUAUUAUUUGCUCAAAAUUUUUGUAUUUUUCGUACAUUCAAAAUUUAAUCUUUAUAUUUUUUAUUUUCUCUAAUUUAGUCUCUCUACUUUUUGAAUUGAAUUUAGGUUCAUUUAUUAACACUAUUAAAAAAAAUUCUGUUAGUAUGGCAUUUUGAAAAAUAAAAUAAAUUUGAUAUCUAUGUUUUUAAUUAUUCCAAAUAUUGUUUUACUAUUUCAAGAUAAUUUUUUUGUGUCUAGAGCAAUAUCUUAAGAACUAUUGUUGCAUGUCUAAUUAUUCUAAAGAAUUGUCGAUUGAGUCUUAGCUUGAUUGCCAUGUGCAUUGUUGCCAAUGUAGGAGAAUGUGGGUUCAAGUAUGCUAAAGUGUAUUAUCUCCUAUUUAUGAAUUGGGGAGUUGAUAAAGUACUAGAUUUUGAUAUAAUUUAAAAUAUUAAAAAUUUAUUAAAAUAUUUUUUAUAAAAAUUGAUUGUACCACAAUAUACAAUUUUAAUAUCAAAAUUUUAAUUUUUUUUAAAUAUUAGCGAAUAUAUACUUUUUUUUCAAGUUACACAAUUUUACUAGUUUUUUACUUCUUUUUUUAAUUUUUAUCGUCUUUUAUAGUUUCUAAUAAUUUUUACAAUAUUUAGCAAUUUUUAACAAUUUUUAAUAAUUUUCUAAAGUAUAUGACCAAAAUAGAACAAACAAAUUCAACACCAUGUUUUUGGAGUUUGGAAAAAAUUAAAGUGAAAAAUAUACCUUCUAAUUUGUUGUUAGAUAGAUAUAUUUCUUCGAGUGUAGUUGAAUUAAAAAUAAUUGAUGGAAUCUGACCUGCACACAUAGUCAAAAAUUGAAGUGAAAAACUUACCUUCUAAAUUGUUCAACUAAAAAUACUUUAAGCAUAUUUUUUUUCCCAUCAAAUUAACUAGUUUGCCUUGAAUGAAAUAAAAUGCUCUUACUUUUGUUAUCUAUUACAAAUCAAACUCUUUUAUGAAAAAAAAUACAUUAAGCAUAUUUUUUAAGGUUGUUGCAUUUGCCCAUGCCAAAUGGAAUGUUACCAGAUAAUUCAUUCCAACUCAGGUAAAGCCCUUCAAGCUUGGGAAGAUGUUGACACAUAUCAUUAGGCAAACUUCCUGAUAGGCUAUUAUUGGAGAGAUCAACGGUCUUUAGAGAAUAAAUGUUGAAGAUCGAAGUUGGAAUCUGACCUGUAAGACCUUUAAUUGCUUUAAUAUUAAGCAAUUCCAAACCAAGAAGAUUACCGAUUUCCUCAGGAAUUUGACCUGCACACAUGGUCGAAAAAUCAAGGUGUCAAACUACCUAUUUUGUUAGCAUAAGUCAAAGAGGUUUUCUUUUCUGUUCUACAGUAAUUUGGAGAUGUUAGAUUUUAAUAUAUUUCAGCAUAUAUUUUUCAUCAAAUGAA